UUAAGGCCUCAUGCGACGACGGGUAGCCGGCCUGAGAGGGCGACCGGCCACACUGGGACUGAGACACGGCCCAGACUCCUACGGGAGGCAGCAGUGGGGAAUAUUGCACAAUGGGCGAAAGCCUGAUGCAGCGACGCCGCGUGAGGGAUGACGGCCUUCGGGUUGUAAACCUCUUUCAGCAGGGAAGAAGCGAAAGUGACGGUACCUGCAGAAGAAGCGCCGGCUAACUACGUGCCAGCAGCCGCGGUAAUACGUAGGGCGCAAGCGUUGUCCGGAAUUAUUGGGCGUAAAGAGCUCGUAGGCGGCUUGUCACGUCGGAUGUGAAAGCCCGGGGCUUAACCCCGGGUCUGCAUUCGAUACGGGCUAGCUAGAGUGUGGUAGGGGAGAUCGGAAUUCCUGGUGUAGCGGUGAAAUGCGCAGAUAUCAGGAGGAACACCGGUGGCGAAGGCGGAUCUCUGGGCCAUUACUGACGCUGAGGAGCGAAAGCGUGGGGAGCGAACAGGAUUAGAUACCCUGGUAGUCCACGCCGUAAACGUUGGGAACUAGGUGUUGGCGACAUUCCACGUCGUCGGUGCCGCAGCUAACGCAUUAAGUUCCCCGCCUGGGG
rnacentral:rRNA from 1 species